AUUGAACGCUGGCGGCAGGCCUAACACAUGCAAGUCGAACGGUAACAGGGAUCAGCUUGCUGAUUCGCUGACGAGUGGCGGACGGGUGAGUAAUGUCUGGGAAACUGCCUGAUGGAGGGGGAUAACUACUGGAAACGGUAGCUAAUACCGCAUAACGUCGCAAGACCAAAGAGGGGGACCUUCGGGCCUCUUGCCAUCGGAUGUGCCCAGAUGGGAUUAGCUAGUAGGUGGGGUAACGGCUCACCUAGGCGACGAUCCCUAGCUGGUCUGAGAGGAUGACCAGCCACACUGGAACUGAGACACGGUCCAGACUCCUACGGGAGGCAGCAGUGGGGAAUAUUGCACAAUGGGCGCAAGCCUGAUGCGGCCAUGCCGCGUGUAUGAAGAAGGCCUUCGGGUUGUAAAGUACUUUCAGCGGGGAGGAAGGGAGUAAAGUUAAUACCUUUGCUCAUUGACGUUACCCGCAGAAGAAGCACCGGCUAACUCCGUG
rnacentral:rRNA from 1 species